CUGGUUGAUCCUGCCGGACCUGACUGCUAUCGGAUUGAUACUAAGCCAUGCGAGUCAUUGUAGCAAUACAAGGCAGACGGCUCAGUAACGCGUAGUCAACCUACCCUAUGGACGGGAAUAACCUCGGGAAACUGAGUAUAAUGCCCGAUAGAACACUAUACCUGGAAUGGUUUGUGUUCCAAAUGAUUUAUCGCCAUAGGAUGGGACUGCGGCCUAUCAGUUUGUUGGUGAGGUAAUGGCCCACCAAGACUAUUACAGGUACGGGCUCUGAGAGGAGUGGCCCGGAGAUGGGUACUGAGACACGGACCCAGGCCCUAUGGGGCGCAGCAGGCGAGAAAACUUUGCAAUGUGCGAAAGCACGACAAGGUUAAUCCGAGUGGUUUCUGCUAAAGGAACCUUUUGUUAGUUCUAGAAAUACUGAUGAAUAAGGGGUGGGCAAGUUCUGGUGUCAGCCGCCGCGGUAAAACCAGCACCUCAAGUGGUCAGGAUGAUUAUUGGGCCUAAAGCAUCCGUAGCCGGCUCUGUUAGUUUUCGGUUAAAUCUGUACGCUUAACGUACAGGCUGCCGGGAAUACUGCAGAGCUAGGGAGUGGGAGAGGUAGACGGUACUCGGUAGGAAGGGGUAAAAUCCUUUGAUCUAUUGAUGACCACCUGUGGCGAAGGCGGUCUACCAGAACACGUCCGACGGUGAGGGAUGAAAGCUGGGGGAGCAAACCGGAUUAGAUACCCGGGUAGUCCCAGCUGUAAACUAUGCAAACUCAGUGAUGCAUUGGCUUGUGGCCAAUGCAGUGCUGCAGGGAAGCCGUUAAGUUUGCCGCCUGGGAAGUACGUACGCAAGUAUGAAACUUAAAGGAAUUGGCGGGGGAGCACCACAAGGGGUGAAGCCUGCGGUUCAAUUGGAGUCAACGCCGG
rnacentral:rRNA from 1 species